UACGUAGGGUGCGAGCGUUGUCCGGAAUUAUUGGGCGUAAAGAGCUUGUAGGUGGUUUGUCGCGUCUGCUGUGAAAAUCCGAGGCUCAACCUCGGACUUGCAGUGGGUACGGGCAGACUAGAGUGUGGUAGGGGAGACUGGAAUUUCUGGUGUAGCGGUGGAAUGCGCAGAUAUCAGGAGGAACACCGAUGGCGAAGGCAGGUCUCUGGGCCAUUACUGACACUGAGAAGCGAAAGCAUGGGGAGCGAACGGG
rnacentral:rRNA from 1 species